UGGCUCAGUUGGUAGAGCAUGGUGUGUGCAACACCAGAGUUGUGGGUUUGAUUCCCAU
rfam:Salmo salar isolate Sally breed double haploid chromosome ssa25, whole genome shotgun sequence.